rfam:Pan troglodytes isolate Yerkes chimp pedigree #C0471 (Clint) chromosome 3, whole genome shotgun sequence.
GCUGGGUGCUGUGGUGUGUGCCUAUAGUCCCAGCUACUCAGGAGGCUGAAGUGGGAGGAUCACUUGAGCCCAGGAGUUCUGGUCUGUAGUGUGUUAUGCUGAUCGGAUGUCCACACUAAGUUCAGCAUCAUAUGGUGACCUCUUUGAACAGGAGAUCACCAGGUUGCCUAAGGAAUGGUGAACUAGUACAGGUUGGAAACAGCAGGACAAAACUUUCAUGCUGAUCAGUAGUGGAAUGGUGCUUGUGAAUAGCCACUGCACUCUAGCCUGGGCAACACAGCAAGACCCCAUCUCUA